rnacentral:rRNA from 1 species
AGAGUUUGAUCCUGGCUCAGAUUGAACGCUGGCGGCAGGCCUAACACAUGCAAGUCGAGCGGUUGAAGGAAGCUUGCUUCCUGAUUCAGCGGCGGACGGGUGAGUAAUGCCUAGGAAUCUGCCUGGUAGUGGGGGACAACGUUUCGAAAGGAACGCUAAUACCGCAUACGUCCUACGGGAGAAAGCAGGGGACCUUCGGGCCUUGCGCUAUCAGAUGAGCCUAGGUCGGAUUAGCUAGUUGGUGAGGUAAUGGCUCACCAAGGCGACGAUCCGUAACUGGUCUGAGAGGAUGAUCAGUCACACUGGAACUGAGACACGGUCCAGACUCCUACGGGAGGCAGCAGUGGGGAAUAUUGGACAAUGGGCGAAAGCCUGAUCCAGCCAUGCCGCGUGUGUGAAGAAGGUCUUCGGAUUGUAAAGCACUUUAAGCUGGGAGGAAGAGCAGUCAGCGAAUACCUUGCUGUCUUGACGUUACCGACAGAAUAAGCACCGGCUAACUCUGUGCCAGCAGCCGCGGUAAUACAGAGGGUGCAAGCGUUAAUCGGAAUUACUGGGCGUAAAGCGCGCGUAGGUGGUUUGUUAAGUUGAAUGUGAAAUCCCCGGGCUCAACCUGGGAACUGCAUCCAAAACUGGCAAGCUAGAGUAGGGCAGAGGGUGGUGGAAUUUCCUGUGUAGCGGUGAAAUGCGUAGAUAUAGGAAGGAACACCAGUGGCGAAAGGCGACCACCUGGCUCAUACUGACACUGAGGUGCGAAAGCGUGGGGAGCAAACAGGAUUAGAUACCCUGUAGUCCA